GUCCACGCCGUAACGAUGUAUGCUCGGUAUCUGGAGCUGUUAAGGCUUGGGUACCUCAGGAACCCGGUAGCAUACCGCCUGGGAAGUACGAACGCAAGUUAACUCAAGGAAUUGACGGGCCCGCACAAGCAGCGGAGCGUGUGGUUUAAUUCGAUGCAACACGAAGAACCUUACCUAGGUUUGACAUAGAUCUGCAUGGCCGAGAAAUCGGUCAGCCUUCGAGGGUGAUCUACAGGUGCUGCAUGGCUGUCGU
rnacentral:rRNA from 1 species